GGUUGAUGACACUGUAACGUAAUUGAGCUUUUUAGACCCGUAAUGAAUAGGCAUCUGUCUUCCUUUUCCUUGAUCAUAUUUAUUUCCAAAUAAUUGAUUUGCAAAUUCUUGUAGAGUAAAUCCUCUCCACAGUAGCACUCCAGGCUCCCUAUACUGCACGAAAUCAUUAUGACUAAGAGCUGCUGCCGAUGCUAUAUUAAUCGCCUCUUCUCCAAUUGUUGUUAGAUAGAAAGAUAUUCUUCCUUGUCUUUGUGCUUCAUAGAAAAUUGUAUCCAUAACUUGCAGUGUUACCAUAUCUCUAUACAUCUUGACAGCAACUUCUUUGCUGAUCUUUAUGUUCAAACGAAUCACUAUCAAUGAGUAGCUGGCCAUUUUCAUUAAGAACUCGAUAACAUUGAGUCCUUUCCGCGCCAGAACCAGAUGUGAAUAACUUGUUGGGGGUAAACUUAACUUUUCCACCUGGGAAAUUUAGUUCUUGCUGUAAAGGAGCUUCAGUAGAUA
rnacentral:lncRNA from 1 species